GACAGAGGGGGCGAGGCGUUGUCCGGAGUUACCUAGGGCGUACAGGCGCGGCGCAGGCGGCCGUGAAGGUAGCCGGGUGACAGACGGGGCGUUAACCCCCGGCGGUCCGGUAGACCGGACGGCUGGAGGCUGGGAGAGGGAGUGUGGAAUGACCCGGUGGAGCGGUGAAAUGCGUAGAGAUCGGGUGGGAACACCCGGGCGGGACGGCGAAGGCACGGUCGUCCCGUAGGACCGAACGACGUGACGGCUGGAAAGGAAGGG
rnacentral:rRNA from 1 species